GAACACUUUAUAGAGCGCCCUUCUCUUUCGUCUCCAUUUUCUGCAAUCAGGAUAAUGCAGUGCAUUUCUGAGCCAUUUUCAUUUUUGAAGUGCUCUUUCAUCAUUAGCUAAUAAAUACUCAUCAAUGAAUUUUCCUCCGCGUCUUGGAAGUUGGAGGAAAAAGAUAAUCGCUUUCCAAUUCGAGUAUCCAAAUAUAAGGUUGGCUGACAGCCAGGAGGCUAAGUCCUAGAGGAUAAUGGCUUAUUGUCUGUGAGCAGCCUUGUUUUAAAGUCUCUCUAUUCAGUUCUGGCAGCACUUGUGAUGCAGAAGAUAGUUCUAAGGCCGUGAAGAAAGGUCACAUGCUGGGUGUUAGCUGUACUGAGUAGCCCAAGUGAUUUUAUUUUUCCACUGAACAGCUCUUUGUUGCUGUAGAUGACCAAAACAUUGACUCCUUUUCACUUUUUGCUGAAAAUUUCACUGUUGUCUGAAAGCUUUGAUAUCUGACUUGCUGAGUGGUUUGGAAUGGCCCACUGCAAUGUUAGGUAUAUCCUGAAAAUAGAGAUAAAUAAUAGGAACAUGUAUUUAAUCAAAUUCAGAUUCGCAGGCAACAAUAUCUUGAUAUAUUUAGGCUUCUCUUCUGUAAAAAAAAAAAUAAAAAUGACCUCCAUAUAUAAGAGGAAAAGCUGCUUUCAGCAACUUCAAUGGGAGGGCGAUUUUUUUUCAUCUUUAAAAGCUCAUUCAAACCAGCAUAUUAAUGAUUUAUGAACAAAUGGAGAAUAUAAGGGAUUACAUUCCUUUUGAACUGUACAAAGUUGUAAAAAGCCUAGAGAAAAAGGACUUGGUUCAAGAUAAAUGUUUGCUGAACUGAUGUAUUGAACCCUUCUAAAUGCUCUUGGAUGAAGAAAACCUCAAAUCUGAACUCAUUUUCUCUUAUGUUGCUAAGCUUUUUAGAAGAUGACUUUGAAACCUGAAUGAGCACAGAUUUAACUGUAAUUUCUAGCCCUUGAUAAUUCCAGUUGAGGAUGUGGAUCUACAACUUGAGUGCAAGAAAGAAUGACAGUCAGUUAAGCAUCGUAGCACCCUAACAAGAAGAAAAGGGAAGAACCGUGUGACCAGUCCUCUGUUCUGAAUCCACUUUCAUUAUCUGACAAUUCAGUGAAUAUUUAAAGAAUAUCUUCUUUGUGCUAGUGCAUGGCCACAUGUUGCAGCUACAGUAACAAAGAAGAAAUGCAUUCCCUGCCUUCAAGGAGUUUACAGUCCGGUGGAAGGGUCUGGACAAGAAAUGGAAUAUUGUAAGUCAUUGUCGUCACCAGAGACAAACUGGGCAGUUUUGGAAUUCGUGGAGCCCAAUCAGGAAGGCCAGGGAAGCCUUCAGGGGGAAGGGCAGUCUGGACUGGGCCCUGAAGGAUGGGAAAGAUGUUGCUGUUCCACAUCCAUCUCUCCAUCGCUGUGCCGCUGCUCCAGGAAAAAUUCCCCAUUGGAGGAGAACCCAGAUUGAGAGUGUCUCUUAGAAAUAAACCGGGUAUUUCAGGAAUCCGCGAGAUUGCCCUCAUGUGCUGCUGGCGGGAACGUGAAGUGGCCCAGCCCCUUUGGAAAACAGUUGGGCAGUUGCUUAACCUGUGAAGCGGAAGCUUAGCAUGAGACUUCUCUCAGGUUCGUUCCUAAGGAUUUCCCUCCGAGAAGUGAAAGUACGUACGCACAUAAAUCCUCGUACACGAGUGUCCACAGGAGCAUACUCCUCACACCCCAGAAGUGGAAGCAGUCCCAGUUACUUGAAUUGGUGAGAGGAUGCACAAAAUGGGGGUAUGUCCGUACAAUGAGAUAGCGGUCCAUAGGAAAAAAGAAGAAAUGAAAUGCUAAUGCACGCCACAACGUGGAUGAGCUUCAAAGACCUGCUGGGAGAAAGAAGACAGGCGCAGAAGUGUUCAGACUGUGUGAUUCCAUUUGUACGAAAUGUCCAGAAAAGGCAAAUCUAUAGAGACAAGAAGCAGAGUAGGGGUUGGGGCGGGCGUAGGAGCAGAAAGUAACUGUCGAACAGGCUGGAGGAAGUUUGGGGGGCUGAUUGAAAUGUUUCAAAACUGAAUGGUGGUGAUAAUUGUCCAACUCUAUACAUUCCCCAAUAAUCAUUCAACUGUACAGUUACAACGGGGAAAUUCUGUGGGGUACAGAGUACCCUCAUCAGAGCUGUAAAAAUUGUUGAAUUGGCACUGCUACCUUCCUGUUUUUAUUAUAGUGAUAUUACAGUUUCAAAAACGUUUCCAUGUAAUAUUUUAAAAAGUCUUUAAUCACAGAGUCUAGAUUUUCAGUUGGUUUCUUUUUUGCGGACCCCUGAGACCCUUCACCUUGACACCAGUGGAGACAUAUUCAGGCUGUAAAAAACUUCUCUCCUUCAAACUAAUUAAGCUCUGAUGACAUCAGCUGUAUUUGCAGUGCACCUGAUUAAGGCCAUGAUACUAAUUAAAUUCUUGAAUGAUUAGAAAUGCAAAUUACCUGACUGAGUUCAGCAACAGACAUUGCUUCUGGGCCCCGGAACAGUGGGGAGCAGCCAGCUUCCUCUCAGGUGACAGAGUGCUCUCAAGUCUCACCUGAGUCUCAGGAGACAGUGUUAACUGUGAACAACUAAGAUUUACCUAUUUCGUGCUGGCUGAUAUUUCAUUUACAGAAGCAGCACAUUUCUAGGGGGCUCAUACCCGUGUGAGUACACUGAGAAGUGCUGUGGUGGGGGAUGGAAGGACCCCUCACCCAGUUCUUUGCAGUCAGAGCUGAGUUCAAAUUCUGCCUCUCGUUUGCCAGGGGUGUGGUCUUUGGCUUACCAGUUUCUCUGAGCCUAUAAAUCUUUAUAGCAGGGAAUUUGAUUAUGUAGCUAUCUAGCUCAAAAGACUUGGGAGCUAAUUAAAUGAGAUCUAGUGUACACGGGGCAUUUAAAAAGUGGUAUCUAGUCAUGGGGUAGCUUAGAUAAGGUCUUCAUUCAUUCAACAAAUAUUAACUGAGUGCCUGCCAUUCAUUUAUUCCUUCUGUUUAGAAAAUAUUUGCUGAACACCUGCUAUAUUCCUGGUGGGAUUCUUGGUGGCCAGGAUACAUCAAUGAAUUAAAAAAGACAAAUCCACACCAUAGCAAAGCCUACUUAGAAAGUGUCUAUAAACAUCAUUAUUAAAUUCUGAAAUACGUUUCAAAGUGAUACAUCCCUUGGAAAAAACGAAGUAGGAUGGGGGUACCUAGAGUGAUGGUGGUGAGAGAAAGGAUAGACGGCAAUGUAGGCUGAUGAGGGAAGGGCUCAAUGAGCAGGUGGAACACGACAAAGCCUUGGAGGAGGUGUGGGAGGUAGCCGUCGUCCAGCAGCUCUCUAGGGAAGAGCUUCACAGGCCGGGUGAACAGCCAGUACAAAAGGGCCCCAAGUGUCAUGGACCAGACAUCUUCAGAGGUACCAGGGAGGCCCGGUACCGUGCCAGACACCAGAUACACAGCGGUAAACCAGCAGGCAGAACUGAGUUCAGAUUCUGCUUCUGUCACUUUCCAGUUUGGUGGAUCUUUGGAUAAUCAUUUAAUUUCUCUGAGCUUAUAUCCACUCAUCUAUAAAAUGAGAUUUGAAUGUCUUUUUCAAAGGGUUAUCUGUCAUUUACCCGAGUCAUCUUGAAGGUAGAGUUUGUAAAUCGUGCCUCAGCGGAACAGGAGCCAUUUUGCUGCCUGGUUCUGAUCCAUUUAGUUACAUCUGGCAUCCUCUGCCACCAGCCCGUUCCAGGACUUUGGCAUGGUUGGUGGGGCAGCUCGGAGAUGGGACUGGCUGAAAUAGAAGGACCACUCUGAGACAUAACAAGGGAUGAGUUCAUUCAGCCAGUAGAUACUGAGCUUCUGCUAUGUUCUGGACACUUUUAUUGCUUGGAGAAGAACCACCUGGAAAGUGGUAAAGAGUUUUAAACACUAGGAUGAUAACGAAUUUUAUACAUCUCUAAAUGUCUGCCUGUGCGUGAAUCUGUGUAGUUUUCCUCAGCAGCCACUGUGCACCAAAAGUGACUCAGCAGUUUCUGGAACUUUUAUCAGAGAUUUCUGGUGAAUUGUGGGCUGGGGGUUGAGAGAGCAAGGGAAGGACCGGGGGGGCUCCUUCACCUUCAACAAUGGCCUUCUCGAACUUUCCUUGUCUCCUGCUGGCUAUGAACCGUUGUCAUGGACAGAACACCAAAUUGAGCCAAAAGACUUGACUGGUCAGGCCGUCCUUCAAGUUUUAGCUGUGUGACCAGGGCUUGUCACGUGGCUCCUCUGAGCUUUAUUUUUCUCAUUUAUAUAACGGAGGUAAAACCUCCAUUGCCUGCCCCCCACAUGUCAAAGGUCAAAUAAGGUAAUGCGUUUGAAAUUAAUUGAUAAACAGUAAAACUAAAUGUGAGAUGAGCGAGGUGCAGGUCAUUGUUGGAGAAAGAAGCUGAUGGGAUAAUGGGGACGGUCAGUUGUCUGUGGUAGGGAAGGAUGGCCUUGGCACUUCUCCAAGGAGUAGACGUUUGGUGCUAAUUUAUGCACAUUAGUUAAUUUCGCUUUGCUGCGGGCUCAGAUGGGACUCCCUGAUGGAUGUGCUGUCCAAGACAGAACCAUGAAAGCCAUGCAGCUCAGAGCUGCGAUCCUUCUGGGGAUGGACCUGGAGGAGACAGGCUGGUGGGAGGCACAGGCUUGGCUGACAAUUUCAGAGUCAUCUGCUCGGCAGAAGCCUGCUGAGCCCCGGGGAGUGGGAUGGGUAGAGAAAACUCUUUUGUCCUAAAAACUAUUAGGGUCAUUUUCAACCCUGCUUUCCAGUCAUGUGGGUUUUACAUUCCAGACUCGUAGGAAUACAGUCACUCAGUGGUAGCUGGUGAGGCUGUGCCCUUCUCCCCAAGCUCAGAAACCAUCUGGACUGGCUGAGCGUGAAAAGGCAAAAGGCAAGAUACUUUUCAGUAGGAGAAAAACACUCUCAAGAGUCAAACUUGAGGCAAGUUCUUGGAGAAAAGAGAAGUAUUGAGGGGAGAGGCAAUCAGAUGCUCGGUGAAGGCACGUGUCUGGUUAUAGCAUAAACUGAGUGUGGGCAGGAGAGAAUCGCUGAAUCUUAGGAGUUAUGGAGCCUCACCGUGGACGCGACUCAGGGAAACCACAGAUUCCCUUCCAUCCCUGUUGAGGUGCCAGCCUCACUGUCCACACAGUAAGCGACUCCUAAAUAGGACCAAGGUUUUUGCAUUUUUUUCUGCCUGUGGUGGUUUAUGCCAAUGCUUCACAUUUCACGGUUGCUCCAGAUGCGUGAUGGAAUGGAAUGGUUCGCUGGUCCUUUCCACACACCAAGGCUGGGCUAGGAAGGAGGGCAACCUCUGAGUCUUCCAUGGAUAACUUACCUCAGUGUUCCUUACUAUUUGGGGAAGAGUUUGAUUUGGUUAAAAGGUAAAAAUAUUUCUCUUCUUUGGUACCUGUUCAUUUUGAUUGUGCUUGUAGCAUCAACAAUGGGCUAGAAACGGGCCAGAAAGAAAGCUGGGCUGUCUUUCUCUAAGCGGAGUUUCCCAGGGGGCGCUGGGCAGGCUCAGUGGCUGGCGGGGCUGGGAUGGGCUUACCCGGGAUACAGAUGGCUGAAAGUUUCUUAUGGUGGUACAGUAUUGAAAAGCAGUUUUGAUAACUAUUGAGAAAUGAACACUCAUUGUAUGGCUUCAUCUGUAAACUUCCUGACUUCACUAAUGGCUAUUUGGGUGUCUGAAACUCUGUGAAUAGCCCCUACCACCAGAAUGUCUAGGAAGAUACAUACAAUUCACUUCCCCUACCCCGAUCUUCCUGUGAAAAGGUCCUGGUAUUAGUUUGACUAUUUUUCAGUCAUACUUUGUUCACCAUCAGUGAUGUUCUUUCCUUUGCCUGCCCUAUAAAAUAUUAGAUUCUUUGAUUUCAUUUGCUCUUAUGUAGUUUUCCUAAUAAUAUAGGAGACAUAUGUGAUUUUAAUCAUUACAUUUUAAAAUCAGAUCUCAGACACUCCUAAAUAGAAAAUGAUUUAUUUCACUGGGAGAGUUUACACAAAGUCCGUAUUUAAUAUCUUCCAUAACAUUUUCUAAUUUUAAAAAUUAAAAAAAUUAACUUUUAUUACUUACUAAGUCUCAAAUGGAAUCUCCCAAAUUCUUUCCAGCAUAUCCCAGUUAUGUAAGUGGUGUAAUUUCCUGUGUGUCACGACGUGAAAAAGGUAGGGCGACAUUGCCGUAAAUUAUUCCUGGUGCAGUUUUUCACCCUGGGAGGUUGGGUGUAAGGGGAAAGAACGUUAAUCUUGGUGGAAGGGAUUUGUUAGAGAAACCCAAGACGUUGCCACGUUUGCUUUUAAAGUUCUAGUUGCCAAGAUAGUGAAAUAAGUAGGGCGAGUUGAACUGAAAGAUAUUUCACAGUGAUGGACACUGUCUGAUGGGGUUGGGUGUGUGUCUGCAGAUUUAUACCUUGCUGCUGGAUCUCCCGGCUGCUUCCAGGAGAGGAUGGGUUGAAAGAGGCAGCAGGAACUAAAAAGCUCAGUCUGGGUCUCGAGAUCCGUGUCGCUCCCUGCACGCUAUCCUCCUGGCUGCCCAGUCCAUCACUACCCCUUUGUGAUGCAGCUCAUCGCCCUGCACUGAGGAAGGUCCUUGAGCCCCACCUCCCCUUCUCUCCAGAGACAGGGUGCCAUCUAGAUGGGUGCUAGGAGGUCAGGAAACCUGGGCCCUUCGCUCCACCGAUGGUUUUCCGAGCGCACCGGACACCUUCCUUGGUUGCGUGAGCCUCUGCUUCUGUUUGCAGGAAGAGGGCUAUAUUUGAUUUCCCACUUGCCUGCCAGGGUAGGUGAGGAUGAAUGACAUGGACUCUCACCGGAGAAAGAUACUGUUUGAACAGACAGUCUGUUUCCAUCAAGGUGGGGAGCAGUCAACUGCCAGGGCUCCACGCCGGCGAGAGUCCAGGGGACUGGACCAUCCCCCUUCACUCAGACGGCGGAGACCACGCCUGUCUCCCCUGAACGGCCGUGUGUGAAUGUCCGGCUUUAUGAUACAUUUGUGCCGGUGAGGGAGUUGGACACGAAGCAGAGGCAGAGGGGUGCCCGUCCCCACUUCAUACAGAGCAUCAACUGUGCGAGCCCGUGACUCAUGGCACACUCACCUGGAGUCGGAGCCCCCCAGGCACCGGGAGCCCUGCCUCCCCGGAGUAUUUCCCCGAUUGAUGACGGAGGACCUCAGCACUGCAGCUCACACAGAGCCUUUAUUCGUGGCCGGCGCGGGACUGCGCGGCCUGUGGGGCACACCCCGGGCCGUGUGCGCUCUCCUCCCGCCUCCUCCCGGGGAGGGAGGCCCCGGCCCGCCGGCGCUGACUUGCCAUGCCCCGCAUCUCCCACAAGGGGGAGCCCCCGGAGGGCAGCGGAAUUUUGGAAGCGCUGAAGUUUUUCUCCUGCUGUCCUCUUAACUGAUUUUCCGUACCCAACUGUAAGAUUUUCUUUGUUGCAAUGUUGGGGCCUGAGCUAACACUUCUGGAGUCUGCGGGUGAGAACCACGGCGGAUGCCAUCUUUUCUUGUUUGUUAUUACCUACCUAGCAUUAUAAACUAAGGAGGGAAAGUCACAAAGAGCUUCAAGACGUUCAUGGAUCUCAGGCCCUGGAGGGAGGCAGGCGGCAUCAGACAGACAGAACCAGGAAAUCUGAGAGGCAGCCAGAAGGUGCCUGUGGCUGCAGAGCCCAGACUUGACUUCGGAAAAGACUCAGAAGAGCCGGUAAACUUGGGUUCCUCACUUCUGCUCCUCAUACGCAGGCGAACUGUUUGAAGACGCUGGCCUCGCAAGAUGGCAACAGGUUUUAAGAAAAACAGGAUUCAUAAGAAGUUCCUUUUUUUUUUCAGGGUGAUUUGCGUGGUGCUCUCGAACACACUCAGGCAGUGCUGCUGCUUGACUGAUUCUUGAACAAGGUGAACCAUGAGAAAGAGCUCCGUUUUUCUGGUGACGCAGCACUUCACUUGUAGUUAGAAGUAGCAUGGCCCCCAGACUAUCAUUCCAUUUCUGUAUUAAAGAGUCAAUGUGAUAACUCUCUGUGACAUGUUCUGUUAUUUUUUUAGUUGUGUUGAUGUUCCUUUCAGCUGGUCCUAUAGUCCCCCCUCCUCAGGAAUGUCUCCCCAGUGAAAGGACACAGACUGCAGAGAAUGCUGCACUGAUGGACGCUCAAGUCAACUGUGAAGCUGAAACAAAGAAAGUGGUCACCUCUCCUGCGCUCCUCUCCUGCUAAGCGACACACCCACACGGUGCAGUUUCAGCCAAUAGGAUCUCAGAACAAGAUGCAAUCUUUUCAAGAAACAGAAACACUUCAUAAUGCCAUCUAGAUUUCUCAUGAGCCAAGGACGUUCCCUUCCUUGUGUGUAUUCCUCUGUGUGUAUUUAAAUUCUGUGUGACCUUCAUUUAAAAUUUUUUUUCUAGUGUGAAUAUGCUCAUUAAUGCACGAGUUUUUAAAAUAGAAAACUGCACAAAUAUGUUCAUGUUUUAAGGAGCAAAAUUCGUGCUCUAGGUAGGUUGGAUUUUAGCCACACCCAAUUUGAUCUUAAGAAUGACCUAAGGAAUAUAAAGUUCUUUUGAAAUAAUGAAGUUGUCGGAGGCAAUCCGGAGGAUAAAGUAAGGGUGGGAACUCAGAAUGCAGCAUAGAAAUAUGUUAUCCCACUGACACCAAUCAAUCAAGCAUUCUUUGUAUCAAGCAAACUUCUGUGAGACACAGUCACUGCCUCGGAAGAGUUUUAAUCUUGUUAGAUAGAGGUGCGUAAACUUUUGAACAGAUGAGUAACGGAUCAAAUCAUUAGAUGCUAAGACCAAAACCAAACUGAAACCAAAGAUUUAAACAAGGAGCUCAGAGGACGUCACCUUCACCUGGACAAACUGGUCUGUUCAGGGAGGGAAGUUCCCAAGGAGGAAAAUAAAAGGUGAAUCUUAAUGGCUGGUAAAGAUGUAGAUAAAUGGAAAGGAAGGAGAAAAUAGAGUCCUUUAGAUGGGUGCAAUAUUGUGCACAAAGUCAGGGAAGAAGCAAUCUACAUGGUGAUUUUAGGAAAUUAUGAAUGCAUGUAUCUUGUUGACUUCAUCCCAGACUUUCAGUGCCGGUGUGUACGUGUGUAUAUGGUAAAGACUUCGGACACACGCGUUCCCUCUCCCACCCCACGUGCAGCCUAGAAUUACAGUUGCAUUUCUUCCGUUAAAGCAAGUGAGAGUGACUUGUGAUGUUACGAGAACUUGUGAUUUUUCUGUUAACCUAGAACAAUCUAUAUUUAGUGUGUUCUCACUGUAAGCAUUUUACGUACUAACUCCCUUAAGCCUCACAACAACCCUGCAAAGUGGGUGUUUGUAUUAUUCCCAUUUUACAAUAAGAAAACUGAGCCUCAGUGAAAUUAAGUAACUUGCCACACUGGCACAUCCAGAGUUCACAUUCAGAACUGGGAUUGCAAAGCCCGUGAACCAGAGCACCCAGUCACCAUAUUGCCACCAAUGUCACAGUGUUACCUCUUCUAUAUUCCUUAAUGUUUGCCUGUGGUAAACGAGUUGCUAUUCCAUUUAUCUUCUCAAAUUUUUCAGUUUUCUGGCUAAAUUACACUAGAGUGAUGGAAUGUAUUUUCAUGAUUGAAACUGAAAAAAUUGGGGAAUAGAGUUUAUCAGCAUUUUAGACUUUUUUUGGCGGGGGGGCAGACUUUGACGAGUCUGUGCACUUUGGUCAGCAUGAAAUCUCAACUGCUUGAGAAUAAAAAUAGCAGGUGGAGAGAGCUUAAGGGUCAUCUAUCACAGUGUCCUUUUCUGUAAAUGUGAUGUGGUAAAUCCAUAGAGUUAGAGUCAGGUCCAGGAGCCACGCCCUCACAGGCUCUUGGAACUACUCCACCCCUACCUCAGUGAAGUGUGAGCUUGACGUUGAUCAAUGAAGACGUUCUCAUCUGGGUGGUCAGGGAGCUUCGUACCUAGUAGAUUGCUUCAACUUUGUACCUCUGACUUCUUACCUCAAUGUGAAAAGUAACUAGCUAUGAACUGACAUCUUUAGAUUCAGAGAUGGUCAGUGGUCCAGCCGCAAAGACCACUUAAUGGCCCAAGUUAUGUGUACAAUGUCUUCAGUGAUACUUCUUAAGUUAUUUGGAACUCUUAGUUCACCUAAACAAAUCAGAACUCCUGAUACGUGUUUCCUUAACCAACUGUAUGCGUGGCAUAAUAUUUGUAAUAGCUCCUACCUGUACAUUUAAACAUGAAUGUUUCGAGAGUCCUUGUGCUUUUGAAAAUAUCAGUGGUUAUUUGCUAUUUUAAUCCUCAUUUAUCCGUAUAACAAAGUCAAGAAUACUUCAGUCGUAAGAAGCUAGAAUUGAGGAAACCUCACUCUUCCUUACCAGCCCCUUUGCCUCCAGUUGGCAUUUAGUAAUGAUUAAUAAAGUGGGCGGCUGGAGAGCGCCGAGGUUCAAAAUGCAAUUCUGUCUUGAAGGAGUCAGUUCAGCUGUGUCUACUAAAGGGCAGACGUCUGGAUGUUUAGGAGUUACCUGCAGAGCUGGCUGUUGUAAAUUUCCACUCAGCUAUCUGGCGCUGUCGGACGUAGACCUCCUGGUGGCUCAGGUCGUCCUGUUUUCAAAAUGAGGGUCGUUGGCCAUCUCACACAGUUCUCGUUAAGUGAGUUCAUAAAUAAACAGUUUUUUUUUAAAGAGUAGCCAAGCACAAAAUGUGACUUUGUUGACGUUUUAUGAGACUUUGUCAUGUGUCCCCUGAACCCCCAAUAAAAACAAUGUUGCAUCAGCUGUGA